rnacentral:rRNA from 1 species
GAUCCUACGGGACGCAGCAGUGAGGAAUAUUGGUCAAUGGCCGAGAGGCUGAACCAGCCAGGUCGCGUGAGGGAAUAAGGCCCUACGGGUCGUAAACCUCUUUUGCCGGGGAGCAAGGGCGGGGACGUGUCCCGGCCCGGAGAGUACCCGGAGAAAAAGCAUCGGCUAACUCCGUGCCAGCAGCCGCGGUAAUACGGAGGAUGCGAGCGUUAUCCGGAUUUAUUGGGUUUAAAGGGUGCGUAGGCGGGCUUUUAAGUCAGCGGUAAAAAUUCGGGGCUCAACCCCGUCCGGCCGUUGAAACUGGG